AAUAAACGCUGGCGGCGUGCCUAACACAUGCAAGUCGAGCGAGAAAGCUCCUUCGGGAGUGAGUAAAGCGGCAAACGGGUGAGUAACGCGUGGGAAUCUACCUUUCAGUGAGGAAUACCCUCGAGAAAUCGAGGUUAAUACUGCAUACGUCCCUACGGGGAGAAAGGCGGCCUCUUUGCUGUCGCUGAAAGAUGAGCCUGCGUACUAUUAGCUAGUUGGUAGGGUAAUGGCCUACCAAGGCGAUGAUGGUUAGCCGGCCUGAGAGGGUGUACGGCCACACUGGAACUUAGACACGGUCCAGACUCCUACGGGAGGCAGCAGUGAGGAAUCUUGCUCAAUGGGCGAAAGCCUGAAGCAGCGACGCCGCGUGAAGGAUGACGGUCUUCGGAUUGUAAACUUCUGUUAAGUGGGAAGAAAUCUCUAUUUCUAAUACAGAUAGAGGAUGACGGUACCAUUAGAGAAAGCACUGGCUAAUCUCGUGCCAGCAGCCGCGGUAACAC
rnacentral:rRNA from 1 species